GCCUUCUUCCUCCGCCCAGCCGCCACAGUGAUUGCCGUCAAGUCUGCCACAGGAGGAUAUUUUAUUCUGGGUUAACCUGCUUUUCUACUUCGCAGGUUGUUUAUCAAUAUUUGUGUAAUUUUAUUUACUCCUAGAAUUUCCGCAUGUGUUAGAAGUAUUUAUUGAUUAUGGUCUGUAAUAUUAUUAUCAUGUUGGACCUGUAAACGUAUAAUGAUAUGCAUGUUUGAUGGAUUGGAUGAGGGAGCUGAGCUCUCAUUUAUUAUUA